rnacentral:misc_RNA from 1 species
UGGAAAAUACAUCAUAUAUACUUGGAUGCCUUAAAAGAAUAGAUCAGUUAUACAUCUUCUGAAGUGAAGAACAAGGUCUCCUAUAACUCCAGAAACUGAUUGAAUCAUGUGGUGGCCAAGCUAUUACUUUUGGUGGUGAUGCUUCAAAAGAAGAAGAUGUAGAAUUAAAUGAUGUAUACCGUCUAUACAGUUGUUACGUUCUUAAUUCAACCAG